rnacentral:rRNA from 1 species
UACGGAGGGUGCAAGCGUUAUCCGGAUUCACUGGGUUUAAAGGGAGCGCAGGCGGACUUGUAAGUCAGUGGUGAAAUACCUGAGCUUAACUCGGGAACUGCCAUUGAUACUAUAGGUCUUGAAUGUUGUUGAGGUUUGCGGAAUGGGUCAUGUAGCGGUGAAAUGCAUAGAUAUGACCCGGAACACCUAUUGCGAAGGUAGCAGGCUAAACAAAUAUUGACGCUGAGGCUCGAAAGCGUGGGGAUCAAACAGG